rnacentral:rRNA from 1 species
CUCCAGAUUGAACGCUGGCGGCAGCUAACAGCAGCAAGUCGAAUGGCAACAGGAAACAGCUUGCUGUUUCGCUGACGAGUGGCGGACGGGUGAGUAAUGUCUGGGAAACUGCCUGAUGGAGGGAUAACUACUGGAAACGGUAGCUAAUACCGCAUAACGUCGCAAGACCAAAGAGGGGGACCCUCGCCUCUUGCCAUCGGAUGUGCCCAGAUGGGAUUAGCUUGUUGGUGGGGUAACGGCUCACCAAGGCGACGAUCCCUAGCUGGUCUGAGAGGAUGACCAGCCACACUGGAACUACGGGCGGUCCAGACUCUACGGGAGGCAGCAGUGAAGAAUAUUGCACAAUGGGCGCAAGCCUGAUGCAGCCAUGCCGCGUGUAUGAAGAAGGCCUCGUGCAAAGUACUUUCAGCGGGAGGAAGGAGUAAAGUUAAUCACCUUUGCUCAUUGACGUUACCGCAGAAGAAGCACACAACCCGUGCCAGCAGCCGCGGUAAUACGGAGGGUGCAAGCGUUAAUCAAUUACUGGGCGUAAAGCGCACGCAGGCGGUUUGUUAAGUCAGAUGUGAAAUCCCGGGCUCAACCUGGGAACUGCAUCUGAUACUGGCAGCUUGAGUCUCGUAGAGGUAGAAUCAGGUGUAGGUGGUGAAAUGCGUAGAGAUCUGGAGGAAUACCGGUGGCGAAGGCGGCCCUCUGGACGAAGACGAUGCGCUCAGGUGCGAAAGCGUGGGGAGCAAACAGGAUUAGAUACCCUGGUAGUCCACGCCGUAAACGAUGUCGACUUGGAGGUUGUGCCCUUCGAGGCGUGGCUUCCGGAGCUAACGCGUUAAGUCGACCGCCUGGGGAGUACGGCCGCAAGGUUAAAACUCAAAUGAAUUGGGGGCCGCGCAAGCGGUGGAGCAUGUGGAAUUCGAUGCAACGCGAAGAACCUUACCUGGUCUUGACAUCCACGGAAGUUUUCGAGAUGAGAAUGUGCCUUCGGGAACCGUGAGACAGGUGCCGCGGCUGUCGUCAGCUCGUGUUGUGAAAUGUUGGGGUUAAGUCCGCAACGAGCGCAACCGCCUCCUUUGUUGCCAGCGGUCCGGCCGGGAACUCAAAGGAGACUGCCAGUGAUAAACUGGAGGAAGGGGGAGUAAAGGCUCGCCUGUCAUCAGGGCCUCCUGGCCUGAAUUCAGGGGCUACCACACGCCGCAACAGCGCAGCAGCGAAGCGACCUCGCGGGCGUUGGACCUCCAUCAAAGUGCGUCGUAGUCCCCGGAUGGAGUCUGCUCGACCCGCCGUAGUCAGGAAUCCCGCCAGCACCCGACCAGUCGAAUGCCAUGUACGAUACGUUCCCGGGCCCAGGCCACACCGCCGUCACCGCGGAGUGGUUUGCAAAAUGGGUAGCGAGAAGCGAACCUUCUGGAGGCGCCGCAUUC